rnacentral:rRNA from 1 species
CCCUUAGAUGUUCUGGGCCGCACGCGCGCUACACUGUUCGACGCAGCGAGUCUUAACCUUGACCGAAAGGUUUGGGUAAUCUUCAGCAAAGUCGAACGUGAUGGGGAUCGAUCAUUGCAAUUAUUGAUCGUGAACGAGGAAUUCCUAGUAAGUGCAAGUCAUCAGCUUGCGCUGAUUACGUCCCUGCCCUUUGUACACACCGCCCGUCGCUACUACCGAUUGAAUGGUUUAGUGAGAUCUCUGGAUUGACGCUGGCUAGGGGGCGGCCCUUGGCCAGACUGCUCGAGAAACUGCUCAAACUUGAUCAUUUAGAGGAAGUAAAAGUCGUAACA